rnacentral:rRNA from 1 species
GACGAACGCUGGCGGCGUGCUUAACACAUGCAAGUCGAACGGUGAAAGCGGAGCUUGCUCCGCUGGAUCAGUGGCGAACGGGUGAGUAACACGUGGGCAACCUGCCCCUCACUUCGGGAUAACUCCGGGAAACCGGGGCUAAUACCGGAUAUGACCUCCUUGGGCAUCCUUGGAGGUGGAAAGUUUUUCGGUGAGGGAUGGGCCCGCGGCCUAUCAGCUUGUUGGUGAGGUAGUGGCUCACCAAGGCGACGACGGGUAGCCGGCCUGAGAGGGCGACCGGCCACACUGGGACUGAGACACGGUCCAGACUCCUACGGGAGGCAGCAGUGGGGAAUAUUGCGCAAUGGGCGAAAGCCUGACGCAGCAACGCCGCGUGCGGGAUGACGGCCUUUGGGUUGUAAACCGCUUUCAGCAGGGAAGAAGCCGCAAGGUGACGGUACCUGCAGAAGAAGCACCGGCUAACUACGUGCCAGCAGCCGCAGUAA